rnacentral:misc_RNA from 1 species
GAUGAAGAACGCAGCGAAAUGCGAUAAGUAAUGUGAAUUGCAGAAUUCAGUGAAUCAUCGAAUCUUUGAACGCACCUUGCGCCUUUUGGUAUUCCGAAAGGCACACCUGUUUGAGCGUCAUGAAUACCUCAAUCUCCAUCUUUUCUUCGGAUUGAAGGGUGACUUGGAUGUUGAGCCCUGCUGGUAUGCUAUAUCAGCUGGCUUUAAACUUAUUAGCCGGCUCUGUACUGGAUCGGUUUGACUCGACGUGAUAAUAUUAUCGUUGAGGAUGCAUGUCUCAUGCAGCCGGAAAGUAUCAGAGCAGCUUCUAGCUUGCCUUUAGUGCACUUUUACAUUUUAGACCUCAGAUCAGGUGGGACUACCCGCUGAACUUAAGCAUAUCAAUAAGCGGAGGA